GUAAUUUAUCCAGGAAUAAGUAUUGCAAUUUCAUACCAUAGCUUAGUUCAUGCAUAUAUAAAAUUUAAAAAUUUCAGGCAAUCUUUGAAUUGUAAACCACUUAAACAUUGUUUCUGAGUUGAAAUAGUUCUGUGGUAAAGCCUGGAUUACGUUGAUAAAACUUGGAGCAAAUGAAUAAUACCCCUUGCCUCUCUCAUUCCCCUGUAUUUCAACCACAGAGUCACAGUUCAGGCCAGAGGGUUAUGUUAUACCGCGCCCGGCCUAUAAUCUUUUGUUUUUUUUGAGAUGGAGUCUCGCUGUCACCCAGGCUGGAGUACAAUGGUGCGAUCUCGGCUCACUGCAACUUCCACCUCCUGGGUUCAAGUGAUUCUCCUGCCUCAGCCUCCCCACUACUUGGGAGGCUGAGGCAGGAGAAUUGCUUGAAUCUGGGAGGCAGAGGUUGUAGUGAGCUGAGAUCACAUCAUUGCACUCCAGCCUGGGCAAUAAGAGUGAAAAUCCAUCUCAAAAAACAAAAACAAAAACUAAAAACAAACAAAAAAAAAAGAAAUCCCAGUUUCUUCAAGAAAUAGUCCCUUUUUAGUAUGUAUAAUUCUGGCCAGAGUGAUAAAAUAAUUAUUUUAAAUAGGUAGUAGAUGAUGACUCCCCAGAGAUGUAUAAGACAAUCUCUCAAGAAUUUCUUACACCGGGAAAACUGGAAAUUAAUUUUGAAGAAUUAUUAAAACAAAAAAUGGAAGAAGAAAAACGACGAACAGAGGAGGAACGGAAGCAUAAGCUAGAAAUGGAGAAACAAGAAUUUGAACAACUGAGACAGGAAAUGGGAGAGGAAGAGGAAGAAAAUGAAACCUUUGGAUUGAGCAGAGAAUAUGAAGAACUGAUCAAAUUAAAAAGGAGUGGCUCUAUUCAAGCUAAAAACCUAAAAAGCAAGUUUGAAAAAAUUGGACAGUUGUCUGAAAAAGAAAUACAGAAAAAAAUAGAAGAAGAGCGAGCAAGAAGGAGAGCAAUUGACCUUGAAAUUAAAGAGCGAGAAGCUGAAAAUUUUCAUGAGGAAGAUGAUGUUGAUGUUAGGCCUGCAAGAAAAAGCGAGGCUCCAUUUACUCACAAAGUGAAUAUGAAAGCUAGAUUUGAACAAAUGGCUAAGGCAAGAGAAGAAGAAGAACAAAGAAGAAUUGAAGAACAAAAGUUACUACGCAUGCAGUUUGAACAAAGGGAAAUUGAUGCAGCACUACAAAAGAAAAGAGAAGAGGAGGAGGAGGAAGAAGCUAGCAUCAUGAAUGGCUCCACUACUGAAGAUGAAGAGCAAACCAGAUCAGGAGCUCCAUGGUUCAAGAAGCCUCUUAAAAACACAUCAGUUGUAGACAGUGAGCCAGUCAGAUUUACGGUUAAAGUAACAGGAGAACCCAAACCAGAAAUUACAUGGUGGUUUGAAGGAGAAAUACUGCAGGAUGGAGAAGACUAUCAAUAUAUUGAAAGGGGAGAAACUUACUGCCUUUACUUACCAGAAACUUUCCCAGAAGAUGGAGGAGAGUAUAUGUGUAAAGCAGUCAACAAUAAAGGAUCUGCAGCUAGUACCUGUAUUCUUACCAUUGAAAGUAAGAAUUAAUCACUCUUUUUAUCUUUUAUUCUAUUAAUUUUUUUUUCCUUAAAAUCACUUUUCUUCUUCUCUUUUUUAGCUGAUGACUACUAGCUCCCCUCCCCUCUCCCUGGAACUUUCUCUUUCACUCCAACUUUCUUACUACAUCCAUCUUUUCUGUGGCGGGGCCAAAAAAGGAAACCAGGAGUGCCACUAUGCUGACUUCUUAUUCCUUUUCAUAACAGUCUUCAAAGCACAGCUCAUCUAAAGAAUGCCUACUUCUUUUCCAAAUAAGCAUCAGAUUUAUCGCCUAUUAUGCAGUAACAGUCAAUAAAAUGUACUUAUGGGGGGGAAUUACUCAAUUAUUCUAUCAGAACCUAUUAUAAAGACUGUAUUUCCC
rnacentral:sRNA from 1 species